rnacentral:sRNA from 1 species
GGCGGGAUGCCGAAGUCGGGUCCCGCAUCCAGAACACUUGCUGAUUAUUCAGGAGAUCAUCAUGAGC